AAUCACUCAUGAUUAUGCUGAACGCAAGCCGUUUUCAUGACUUUUUAAGUCAUGUUCACAAUGUUGUGGGAAAUGUGCAACAGCAACGUGCGGGUGCGUGCGUCGGAGCGCGCUUUUGCCCCUCUCCUCGGGUUAACCCGAGGACUAACCCUCUCCCCGCGAGCGGGGCGAGGGAACGAGUGCGAGGCUGCCGCGACUUCCCCUUCGCCCCGCCUGCGGGGAGAAGGUGGCC
rnacentral:sRNA from 1 species